GCAUUGGUAAUAUAAGGUACAGAUCAUAAUGUCUUGCUGCAGAAAGGUGCAUUGGUAAUAUAAGGUACAGAUCAUAAUGUCUUGCUGCUGAAAGGUGCAUUGGUAAUAUGAGGUACAGAUCAUAAUGUCUUGCUGCUGAAAGGUGCAUUGGUAAUAUGAGGUACAGAUCAUAAUGUCUUGCUGCAGAAAGGUGCAUUGGUAAUAUGAGGUACAGAUCAUAAUGUCUUGCUGCUGAAAGGUGCAUUGGUAAUAUGAGGUACAGAUCAUAAUGUCUUGCUGCUGAAAGGUGCAUUGGUAAUAUGAGGUACAGAUCAUAAUGUCUUGCUGCAGAAAGGUGCAUUGGUAAUAUGAGGUACAGAUCAUAAUGUCUUGCUGCUGAAAGGUGCAUUGGUAAUAUGAGGUACAGAUCAUAAUGUCUUGCUGCUGAAAGGUGCAUUGGUAAUAUGAGGUACAGAUCAUAAUGUCUUGCUGCAGAAAGGUGCAUUGGUAAUAUGAGGUACAGAUCAUAAUGUCUUGCUGCUGAAAGGUGCAUUGGUAAUAUGAGGUACAGAUCAUAAUGUCUUGCUGCAGAAAGGUGCAUUGGUAAUAUGAGGUACAGAUCAUAAUGUCUUGCUGCUGAAAGGUGCAUUGGUAAUAUGAGGUACAGAUCAUAAUGUCUUGCUGCAGAAAGGUGCAUUGGUAAUAUGAGGUACAGAUCAUAA